rnacentral:rRNA from 1 species
UGAGGAAUAUUGGUCAAUGGGCGGAAGCCUGAACCAGCCAAGUCGCGUGAGGGAAGACGGCCCUACGGGUUGUAAACCUCUUUUGUCGGGGAGCAAGGGACGGCACGAGUGCCGUGGCGAGAGUACCCGAAGAAAAAGCAUCGGCUAACUCCGUGCCAGCAGCCGCGGUAAUACGGAGGAUGCGAGCGUUAUCCGGAUUUAUUGGGUUUAAAGGGUGCGCAGGCGGAAGAUCAAGUCAGCGGUAAAAUAGCGGGGCUCAACCCCGUCGAGCCGUUGAAACUGGUUUUCUAGAGUGAGCGAGAAGUAUGCGGAAUGCGUGGUGUAGCGGUGAAAUGCAUAGAUAUCACGCAGAACUCCGAUUGCGAAGGCAGCAUACCGGCGCUCAACUGACGCUCAGGCACGAAAGCGUGGGUAUCGAACAGG